GGCAUGUGAUGUCCAUUUUCACGAUGGUCUUCAGAUGCCCACCAGUAGUCCUGCUGAGAAAGCCACUUGGUUCAACUGAUGCCAGAAA
rnacentral:snoRNA from 1 species